rnacentral:rRNA from 1 species
AACACAUGCAAGUCGAACGAGAAAGGGAUUGCUUGCAAUCCUGAGUAGAGUGGCGCACGGGUGAGUAACACGUAGAUAAUCUGCCUUCAAGCCUGGGAUAACUAUCCGAAAGGAUAGCUAAUACCGGAUAAAGUCGAUCUACACAAGUAGACCGAUGAAAGAUUGCCUCUUCUUGAAAGCAAUUGUUUGGGGAUGAGUUUGCGUACCAUUAGCUAGUUGGUGGGGUAAAGGCCUACCAAGGCUGCGAUGGUUAGCUGGUCUGAGAGGAUGAUCAGUCACACUGGAACUGGAACACGGUCCAGACUCCUACGGGAGGCAGCAGUGAGGAAUUUUGCGCAAUGGGGGCAACCCUGACGCAGCAACGCCGCGUGAGUGAAGAAGGCCUUUGGGUCGUAAAGCUCUGUCAACAAGGAAGAAAUUAGGAUUUAUUAAUAGUGGGUCCUAUNGACGGACUUGUGGAGGAAGCGCCGGCUAACUCCGUGCCA